GACAGAGGGUGCAAGCGUUGUUCGGAAUCAUUGGGCGUAAAGGGCGCGUAGGCGGUUUUAUAAGUCGAAUGUGAAAGCCCAGGGCUUAACCUUGGAAGUGCAUUCGAAACUAUAAAGCUCGAGUCCCGGAGAGGGUGGUGGAAUUCCCAGUGUAGAGGUGAAAUUCGUAGAUAUUGGGAGGAACACCGGUGGCGAAGGCGACCACCUGGACGGAGACUGACGCUGAGGCGCGAGAGCGUGGGGAGCAAACAGG
rnacentral:rRNA from 1 species